GUCCACGCCCUAAACGAUGCGAACUGGACGUUGGGAGCAAUUAGGCUCUCAGUGUCGAAGCUAACGCGUUAAGUUCGCCGCCUGGGGAGUACGGUCGCAAGACUGAAACUCAAAGGAAUUGACGGGGCCCGCACAAGCGGUGGAGUAUGUGGUUUAAUUCGAUGCAACGCGCAGAACCUUACCUGGCCUUGACAUCCACGGAAUCCUUGAGAGAUCAGGGAGUGCCUUCGGGAACCGUGAGACAGGUGCUGCAUGGCUGUCGU
rnacentral:rRNA from 1 species